AUAACAUAAUAUAUGACAAAGUAUUAACAAUAAAAUCUGUUUUUUCUGUAAAAUAUUUUUCAUGUAAAUGUAGAACUCUCCUACGAUUGGUUGAAAUCCAAUUCCGCUGCCGUGUUUACCGCUUAAUGGGACAUUAGGAGAAAUGCAUCAGCGGAAACGUGUACAAUUAUAACCUGAUAUUGCCUGAUAUUGACUCGCGGAAUGAACGAUAAUCUCUUCAUACACGUUCCAAAGACAAUACUAUUAUUAAAUAAUUAUGAACAGAAAAAUAAAAUGUAAUUUUUGUGGCUGGAUAAUGAGUAGCUCGUGUAAUAUUGAUCAGCAUAAAUGUUUCGAGAACUAUGAAGACGUCCACGAUGAAAACCAUGUAGUAAGAGAAAAAGAAAGAAGAUUAAUGCAGGGAGCAAGCGACA